UACUAGAGUAGCACUCGCAUAUCAAUAAGCGGAGGAAAAGAAACUAACAAGGAUUCCCCUAGUAACGGCGAGUGAAGCGGGAAGAGCUCAAAUUUGAAAUCUUAAAGGGUUUCCCUUUACGAAUUGUAGUUUAAAGAAGUGUUUUCUGUUGAGGUUUUGGUAAAAGUUCUUUGGAAUAGGACAUCAUAGAGGGUGAGAAUCCCGUAUUUGACCUUUACUUUCAACUUUGUGAUACACUUUCAAAGAGUCGGAUUGUUUGGGAAUGCAGUCCAAAAUGGGUGGUAAAUUUCAUCUAAAGCUAAAUAUUGGCGAGAGACCGAUAGCGAACAAGUACCGUGAGGGAAAGAUGAAAAGAACUUUGAAAAGAGAGUUAAACAGUACGUGAAAUUGUCAAAAGGGAAGCGUUUGACACCAGUGUUGUUUUUCUGAAAAUCAAUUAAAGAACUGUUUAUGCUAAGUUGUUUAGACUUUAUCAGCUAUCUGCUUAGUUUUGAGCUUUCUUUAAUGCACUUUUCAGUUAACAAGUCAACAUCAAUUUCUUUUGCUGUAAAAAAGCUUGAGGAAGGUGGCUUGAGAUUCGUCUUAAGUGUUUAUAGCCUCUUGCCUAUGCAGUCGGAGAGAUUGAGGUCUGCAGCGUAGAUCCUUCGGGGCUAAAUGCAUUUGUGCUAAGUUAUAGCAUUUUAUAGACAACUUGUUGACUAUGAUUUGUCUUGUAGCUUACUCGCUUAUGUUAUUUUACCUACGCUUAGGAUGUUGAAGACUCUACAGAGAUAA
rnacentral:rRNA from 1 species